AAUUCCAUGGUACAGAUCACAACCUACAGAUCAACAAAUGAAAGAACAAAUUAGAAUCUCAAAAGAUUAAGAAAUGGGAUGAAAAAGAAAAGAACCCAUCAUAAACCAAAUGUUUUAUAUAAAAACAAAUUUCAGAAGAAAUAUUCCAUCUGAACAUUUUUUUUGCAUGGUAAAAAAGAAGCCAAAUAUUUUUCCUAUUCACUUCUAGAUCUUUGACAUUUAUGAAGCAAAAACUUUAUGAUGGCCACACUUUAAAGCUAUUGACAAAGUAAAACAAGCCCAGAAUAUGACAAUACGUUGUCUUGUUUUUCAGGCAUUACUGUUUAAUGCAGCAGAAAAUUAAAGGAUUGCUAUUUGACAAAACAGCUCUAACUCACAGUUCGUCAAAAUUUUAGCAGGCUCCAGGACAAAGGCACAUCACAUGAUGAAGAAUCCACAUCGUCCUUCAAAGAAGAUAGUAAUAGAAAGAAAAAGCUUCUUUGAUACCUUAAAAUGAUAGAUAGCAUACUUUAUGAAUCUAUGAUUAAGGCUACAUGAUAGCAAUACUUUCAUCAUCCUUCCAAGUCCCCAUCCCUUGCCUGGUUUUUUAAAGCAGCAUUUUGAAAAAUCUCCAGGCGCUUUGCAGGGAGGUCAACAUUGAUAGAUAAGCCUCAAGUCCGUUGACUUACAACACUGUUUGUUAUUAAAAGAUUAUCUUUUGAUACUAUUAUCAAAGUAUAUAAUUACAAAAUUAUGAUGAACUGAUGAUAGAUCUUCUCGUCAUAAGGAAAGGGGAAAAAAAUUACCCUUCUGUGCUGAAAGAACGUACUCUACUCGUAAAUGAAAAAGGAAAAAACAUUUAAUAAUGGAAACAAACCAUAAAAAUAUUAGCUGGAAAAAACAAACGUAUUCUACCAAGAAGUUAAUAAUUGGACAGUCAAUGAAGUAUUAGCUGGAAAGUCAAUGUAAGGCAGCUAGAAAAAUAAAUCAAUAUCAGCAAAUAACCAUAAAGACGCUCCACCAUGCAUGUGAACAUAAUCAGCCAAUGUUUAAGUUUCUAAGAAAUGUACCAACGAAAAAGAAGCAAGUUAGAUAUUACUAUAAGAUAGCGUUAGAUUUAUCUAAAAUAACAAAAUGGUA
rnacentral:misc_RNA from 1 species